UGAGAGCACAGACCAUCCCUUGAUUCGUGAUAUUGUGAUGAUGAGUGGGGGGGGGCCAUUUUGGCCAAGCAUGUAUUCAGGGAGGCCAAUGGGGCAGCCGAUUGGGUGGCUGGCCAUGCGGCCCACCACUUGGGGUAUGCCCUCUAGUCGGGGGAGGCGGAGCUGCCAUUGGCACUCCGUGAGGUAUUGUAUUUUGAUUUUAUUGGGUGUAUUCGUACCCGUAUUGUAUGAAGUACCCGUUUUCAGCAAAAAAA
rnacentral:lncRNA from 1 species